ensembl:piRNA 21ur-2215 ncRNA
UUACACAGCCAAUCUUGAGAU